rnacentral:rRNA from 1 species
AUUAAGGGCGCACGGUGGAUGCCUUGGCACUAGAAGCCGAUGAAGGACGUUACUAACGACGAUAUGCUUUGGGUAGCUGUAAGUAAGCGUUGAUCCAGAGAUUUCCGAAUGGGGGAACCCAACAUGAGUUAUGUCAUGUUAUCGACAUGUGAAUUCAUAGCAUGUCAGAAGGCAGACCCGGAGAACUGAAACAUCUUAGUACCCGGAGGAAGAGAAAGAAAAAUCGAUUCCCUGAGUAGCGGC